GACGAAUUCUGGCGGCGUGCUUAACACAUGCAAGUCGAACGGAAAGGCCCUGCUUUUGUGGGGUGCUCGAGUGGCGAACGGGUGAGUAACACGUGAGUAACCUGCCCUUGACUUUGGGAUAACUUCAGGAAACUGGGGCUAAUACCGGAUAGGAGCUCCUGCUGCAUGGUGGGGGUUGGAAAGUUUCGGCGGUUGGGGAUGGACUCGCGGCUUAUCAGCUUGUUGGUGGGGUAGUGGCUUACCAAGGCUUUGACGGGUAGCCGGCCUGAGAGGGUGACCGGCCACAUUGGGACUGAGAUACGGCCCAGACUCCUACGGGAGGCAGCAGUGGGGAAUAUUGCACAAUGGGCGGAAGCCUGAUGCAGCAACGCCGCGUGCGGGAUGACGGCCUUCGGGUUGUAAACCGCUUUCGCCUGUGACGAAGCGUGAGUGACGGUAAUGGGUAAAGAAGCACCGGCUAACUACGUGCCAGCAGCCGCGGUGAUACGUAGGGUGCGAGCGUUGUCCGGAUUUAUUGGGCGUAAAGGGCUCGUAGGUGGUUGAUCGCGUCGGAAGUGUAAUCUUGGGGCUUAACCCUGAGCGUGCUUCCGAUACGGGUUGACUUGAGGAAGGUAGGGGGAGAAUGGAAUUCCUGGUGGAGCGGUGGAAUGCGCAGAUAUCAGGAGGAACACCAGUGGCGAAGGCGGUUCUCUGGGCCUUUCCUGACGCUGAGGAGCGAAAGCGUGGGGAGCGAACAGGCUUAGAUACCCUGGUAGUCCACGCUGUAAACGGUGGGUACUAGGUGUGGGGUCCAUUCCACGGGUUCCGCGCCGUAGCUAACGCUUUAAGUACCCCGCCUGGGGAGUACGGCCGCAAGGCUAAAACUCAAAGGAAUUGACGGGGCCCCGCACAAGCGGCGGAGCAUGCGGAUUAAUUCGAUGCAACGCGUAGAACCUUACCUGGGUUUGACAUGGAUCGGGAGUGCUCAGAGAUGGGUGUGCCUCUUUUGGGGUCGGUUCACAGGUGGUGCAUGGCUGUCGUCAGCUCGUGUCGUGAGAUGUUGGGUUAAGUCCCGCAACGAGCGCAACCCUUGUUCACUGUUGCCAGCACGUUAUGGUGGGGACUCAGUGGAGACCGCCGGGGUCAACUCGGAGGAAGGUGGGGAUGACGUCAAGUCAUCAUGCCCCUUAUGUCCAGGGCUUCACGCAUGCUACAAUGGCUGGUACAGAGAGUGGCGAGCCUGUGAGGGUGAGCGAAUCUCGGAAAGCCGGUCUCAGUUCGGAUUGGGGUCUGCAACUCGACCUCAUGAAGUCGGAGUCGCUAGUAAUCGCAGAUCAGCAACGCUGCGGUGAAUACGUUCCCGGGGCU
rnacentral:rRNA from 1 species